rnacentral:lncRNA from 1 species
GGCAAGGCUGCAAUGGAGUGCUCUGGGUCCAGAAGGACUAUCUGUUUUCUACUGCUUUUCAGAGCUAAUUAAAUGGGAUUUAGCUCCUUUUUCCCAAGCCAGUACCACUAGUGUCAGUUUUCCUGGAUAAAUGAAUUGAAUCGGCUCACAAGUGAAGAGCGGAAGUUAUGUUAAUAAUGAGCAAAAAAUUUUAAUUCCACUGCAACCUGUUCUGAUUCCUAUAUUAUUUCAAUGACCUGUACCCUAAGAAGUCAGAUCUCUCGAAGGAAGGCAAGGUCGGAUUCAGAGCCUUGAAAACUUGUUCUUACCAUGCCUGGUGUGUACACUGUAGCCUGUUUGGACAUAAUCCUUUGGUAAUGUGGCAAUACCAGUGAUUUCAGGACAGUCCUUUUUGUCAAAAUUCCACAAGAAUAGUAAGGCAAGUUCUACUUCUCAAAUUAUUCUUUACCCCUGUGCAAUUGUUGUUUUUCAUUUUUAAUAGAAGUUUAGAAUUGUGUGGGUACA